rnacentral:rRNA from 1 species
CCCUUAGAUGUUCUGGGCUGCACGCGCGCUACAAUGAUGCAUUCAAAAAGUCUUCUGACCUUAGAAGGUUGGGUAUUCUCCAAAGUGCAUCGUGAUGGGAAUAGUUUAUUGCAAUUUUUAAUCUUGAACGAGGAAUUCCUAGUAAGUACAGGUCAUCAACUUGUGUUGAUUACGUCCCUGCCCUUUGUACACACCGCCCGUCGCUCCUACUGAUUGAGUGUCUCGGUGAAUUCUUUGAUCUUCUGUCGAUUCAGUUCACUGAUCCGACGGUGGAAAGUUGAAUGAACUUCGUCACUUAGAGGAAGGAGAAGUCGUAACA